rnacentral:rRNA from 1 species
CCUACGGGAGGCAGCAGUGAGGAAUAUUGGUCAAUGGGCGCGAGCCUGAACCAGCCAAGUAGCGUGAAGGAUGACUGCCCUACGGGUUGUAAACUGCUGUUAUAAAGGAAUAAAGUGAGGCACGUGUGCCUUUUUGUAUGUACUUUAUGAAUAAGGAUCGGCUAACUCCGUGCCAGCAGCCGCGGUAAGACGGAGGAUCCGAGCGUUAUCCGGAUUGAUGGGGUUUAAAGGGAGCGUAGAUGGGUUGUUAAGUCAGUUGUGAAAGUUUGCGGCUCAACCGUAAAAUUGCAAUUGAUACUGGCAGCCUUGCGUACAGUUGCGGUAGGCGGCCUUCGUGGUGUAGCGGUGCACUGCUUCGCUCUCAC